rnacentral:rRNA from 1 species
AUGAAAUACAAAUCUGGGACACAUACAGAGUAUGGUAGAACAUUUUCGCAAAAUUGUACUUCAGAUAUUCUGACAAGAUGGUUAAAAUGUGAGAUGUCAAGAUCUGCGUCUUUUCCUCUUCUUUUCUCCCUAAAUAGCUUUGUGAUUAGCCUGAUCAGUCAUCUCUUUGUAGUUAGCUUAUGUAUAAGUUGCUGCUGGGAAAUCAUGUAUACGGAACAAAUAUGCUUACACCAUAGGAACAGGACUGACUACAUUCUUUGCGGGACAAACUGGACAACUGAUUUCAGAUCCUGGACCGUGCAUAGAUUUUGUUGUACCUUUGGAUUGGUAAGUUACUGCCUGAUGUAA